rnacentral:lncRNA from 1 species
CAGAGCCCCUGGAACUCUGGCCUAAAGCUGUCUGACCGACUCCUUCUCGGCUUAGCGGCUGAAGACUGACGCUGCCCGAUCGCCUCGGAAGCCCCGUAGACCACCACAGAUGCCGAGCUUUGAGUAACUCUCACAGUGGAAGGUUGCUUUUUCCAUAACUAAAAAUUAUUCAGCAUGGAGAGGCAGCUCCAGGAAAAACCUUACACUUCACUGGGACUGAAGUUAACUAAUUUAUCACCACAGCAAAAGGACAUUAUGUGUAAGUCAAGAACUUCCACAGAUGAAGAAACUGGGGUUUAAAGAAGUCAAAUUACUUAGCUUGUAAAAAGCAGUGCUGGGACUCAAAUCCAGGCAGUCUGGCUUCAGACCCUUGACAUAAAGAGGGAAAUGGAAAUACAGCACCCACUCCGCGGCUGCUCUGAAGCUUCAUCUGCACACGUAAGUGCUCUCGCCCCACCCCAGUCAAGGGAAGCGCUGCUGAAUAGAACUCUAUUUGGUUGAGGUGGCAGCAGAAUACAGGAAAGGCCUGGCCUUCUGGCCUGCUUGACUCCAUCCUACCCCACUCCGUAACCUGCCACAGCACAGCACUGUUGCAGAAUGGCGGACGUGGACCAAUGGUUGAGCGGUGGAGAGAGAUACUCCUCAGGGUUCUUGGACUCUGCAGCGGCUGCUACAGCUGUCUCCCCAGCGACAGGAAAGGAUCGCCAAGACAGAAGGGGGAGCUGCCGUGUCUUCCCCAACCAACAUGCGAGCUGUUUGAGAGCCCAAACGGCAACAACAGCCGCCAUUUAACAAACACUUCCAUUGGCCAGGUGGUGCUAGGCAUGUGACAGGAACGUCUUAAUCUGAUCCCCAUGACAAUCCGAUGAGGCAUGGGUUUGUCACUAUGUCCUCUCUGCAGAUGAGGAACCUGAGAAUUAGUGAGGUCAGGUACAUUGCCCGAGGACAGAUAAUUAAACACCAGAGCCAGGGCUCAGCCCAGAGCUGGGUCACAGUUUGUCCUAAGACAGUACACACCAGAGAUGAGGACUGGAAUAAAACGGCAAAUGUAGCAACAAUGAGCUUCCUUUCCCCAGAGGCCUAGUGGACAGAGCCCACCAGCCAAACACUUGGGAGACAGAGGUUCCAAAUCUGAGCUUGGCUCCUCACUCUGCUCCCUACUCACCAAGCACCUUGAGGCUGCCCACAAAUAGCAAGCAUCAUUUAUUGAGGACCUACUAUGUGCUCAGCUCUAUGCUUGGUGCUAGAUUGUACGCCCUACUUGGGCAGGAACAGCAUCUGUCUCAUUUGCUAAUGUAUCCCCACAGCCUAGUAUGAUGCCUGGCUCUCAUUAGGGGCUGAAUGAAUACUUGGAGAAUUAAUGAAUGAACGAGUGAAAAUAUUCGCUCUGAUCCUUACAACUGCUGUAAAGUAAAAUUUGAAUCCUCUGUAUGUAGGAGAAGAAAUUAAGUUCAGAGCAGCCAAAUCCCCUGUUCAAGGUCACAUAGUUAAUGAGUGCUACAGCGGGAUUCAAACCUAGCCUAUCUGGCUCCCAAAUCCUACUUUUUCCUCUCUAUUUCUCUUCCCCAAAAGGACACAAUGCCACUCUCCCACCUCCCACGGCUAUCAUGAAGAUGAAAUGAGAUAAGGUGGUUGAAUGGGUUUUGUAAUCACUGUACUUGGAAAGGUUGGUAACUGUGAUUUUUAACACAAAAUCAAAGCCUAAAGUCAAAACAGCACAACU